UCUGCACAGAGUGGCUGUGCAAUGGGGUCCAAACCCUUCCAGUUCUUCACCCUUUGCCUAAUCUUGGUAAAUUGUAUCUGAACAGUAUCUUUCAUUAAGAUUCUGUGAGUUCAGGCCACUUCCUAAAUGCCUCCUCCACUGACUUCUAUGGCCACAAUAGCUCUGGAUUAAUCCUCAGAAAUUUGGUAAAUCAACAGAAAAAAUGCCUGGAGCUUGGCUAAACGAUCUGCAGUCAACAGAAGUGUCCCUUCAAUUUCUGCACAAAGACUGUCUCCAACACAAGAACUCACAAUGGGAAAAGAAACCACCCCUGACUUGUCACUUUCCUCCCUCUGAAAGCAUGGAGGGAAUGGGCAGUUAUAAGAGGGAAAUAGCAGCUUGCUGGGUCCCUUGAAAACUAAAUCAAGCACCAGAACUGAUGCACAGAAAAAAGCAAUUUAAUCCUAGCAAAAGAACUGCUGCAGAUUUCUUUCAUUGUUGAGCAGUGAGUGAGACGAGCAGCAGACUGUACCCAAAACUGGAAGCUGUCACCACUGAUUUCCUGCGCUCCUAGGGUAGCACCAUCAUGGCCACUGUGAAAUUGCAUGGUAACAACCUGACCCCUUUCUGUCAAACAGAAAAUUUAGUUGGUGAACUGUUCUGAAGCCCGCAGCCAAAAGGAAUUUUUCAGUGCCUCCCUGCACUCCUACCAUUCAUUUCUGACUUACCCAGACAACUCUUAGCAUACUCAAGGGAGAAGGUUAGGAGACAACUACGUAAUGCAAGAACAUAAAGUUAUAGACUUUCUGUGACAAUAAAGCUAGUAUAAUAAAGAAUA